AUCAUCUGGUUUCUCUUCAGAUCGUAUAAAUAUUUCGCCUUUUACUAAAGAUUUCCGUGGAGAGGAAUCUUUAAUGUUUGUGAAGUGAACAGUGUUUCCUUGUAGACAUUUGUGAUUAG